rnacentral:rRNA from 1 species
GACGAACGCUGGCGGCGGGCUUAAAACAUGCAAGUCGAACGGUAACGCCCCUCUUUUUUUGGGUGCCCGCGUGGAGAACGCGAGAGAAACACGUGAGUAACCUCCCCUUGACUUUGGGAUAUCUUAACGAUACUAGUUCUAAUAUCCUAUAGUAUCUCCCUCUGCAUGGGGAGAGUGGGGAAGUUUCGGCGGUUGGGGAUGGACUCGCUGCUUAUCAGCUUGUUGGUGGGGUAGUGGCUUACCAAGGCUUUGACGGGUAGCCGGCCUGAGAGGGUGACCGGCCACAUUGGGACUGAGUUACGGCCCAGACUCCUACGGGAGGCAGCAGUGGGGAAUAUUGCACAAUGGGCGGAAGCGUGAUGCAGCAACGCCGCGUGCGGGAUGACGGCCUUCGGGUUGUAAACCGCUUUCGCCUGUGACGAAGCGUGAGUGACGGUAAUGGGCAAAGAAGCACCGGCUAACUACGUG